UGUUUUUUGAAAAGUAACAAAAAAAAAUCUUGAUAAUGAUUUUGCAACAAGGCUUACCGCUUCUGUAUCAGCAUUUCACGGCGUUGUUCAAGAAGAACCUGCUACUCUCAUGGAGGAACAAGAGAUCUACAUGUCUUCAGCUCUUCUCAUCAUUCUUCUUCAUCCUUGUCAUAUUCUGUAUCGAGGAAGCUAUGAAGGCGAGCGAAGCAUCCUCAAGUGCCUACAAGAACGUCACGGAUCCCACACUUCUGUUUUCGCUGCCUAUUCUUCCUUGUGAGGAUAAGUUCUUUGUGAAGCUUCCUUGCUACGACUUCGUAUGGAGUGGUAACAAUAGCCGUCGUGUGAUUGACAUCGUCUCUGCAAUCAUGGCUAACAAUCCGGGGAGACCAAUUCCGACCAACAAGGUUCAAUCGUUCAAAGCGCCUGAGGAGGUCGAUGCAUGGUUUAUGUCACAUGCUUUGCAAGUCCCAGGAGUUUUGCAUUUUGUGGAAAGGAAUGCUACAACCUUUAAGUUCCUUGUUCCUCUUCAAAUAGCUGCAGAGCGUGAGAUUGCAAGGUCUUUAAUGGGAGAUCCAAAGUUUGGUUGGGAUUUUGGAUUUAAAGAAUUUGCACGCCCAGCUAUUAUAGCUGAAGUUAUCUCUGCACUCAAAAUUGUAUCAGCUACUGGAUUCCCUUACUCCAACGCUUAUCCUGCUUCUCGCCGCGCGAUUUGGUCACUCUUCCCACCCAACACUUUUUCUGCGGGCCUUAAGCUUCUUCUUGAUGCAACUUCAACUCCAGCAAGUUCUGGAAUUAGCUGGAGUGAAAGAGCUGUAUGCGAAGGGGGCAUGUCAACUUGUGUACUUUCAAUUGAUAUUAUCUACCAGUGGCAAGUCGGGACAUUCCUUUUCUGGUUUGUUCUCGCCAUCUACUUUGACAAUAUCAUUCCCAACGCAUCCGGUGUAAGAAAACCCAUCUUCUAUUUUUUAACACCUGGUUACUGGACUGGUAAAGGAGGCAAUAAAGUGGAAGAAGGUAGCAUUUUUAGCUGUAUCGGUUCAGUUCCGCCCGUAGAGCAUGUAGCGCCAGAGGACCAGGAUGUGCUUGAAGAGGAGACACUAGUUAAGCAACAAGCAAUGGAUGGAAUAGUUGAUCCUAACAUUGCAGUUCCGAUUCAUGGCCUUGCUGAGACAUAUCCUGGAACUACAAAGCUUGGUUGUUGAAAAUGCACCAAAACAUCUCCUUUUCAUGCUGUAAAGGGUUUGUGGAUGAAUAUAACCAAAGACCAGUUGUUUUGUCUGCUUGGACCCAGUGGUGCAGGGAAGACAACUUCUAUCAGCUCUUUGACUGGCAUAAAUCCAAUUACUGGUGGGGUGCUCUUAUCUAUGGAGAUUCCGUAAGAAGCUCUGUUGGUAUGUCCAACAUUCGUAAAAUGAUAGGAGUGUGUCCUCAGUUUUAUAUCCUUUGGGAUGCUUUAUCAAGUGAAGAACACCUCCACCUCUUUGCUAGCAUCAAAGGGUUGCCGCCUGCAUCUAUCAACUCGACCGCUGAGAAGUUACUGGCGGAUGUAAAACUGACAGGAGCGGCCAAAGUUAGAGCAGGAAGCUACAGUUGUGGGAUGAAGCGCCGACUCAGUGUUGCAGUUGCCCUCAUCGGUGAUCCAAGCUGGUCUUCCUAGAUGAACCGGCAUGUCCACAUACUAACUCCUCUUUUAAUGGUGUUUUUAAUUAUGUAUACAUGCUGAUCGAUUUAAGAUGGUGUACUUAUAUAUGGAUUGUAGACAACUGGCAUUGAUCCUAUCACGAGGAGACAUGUGUGGGACAUUAUACAGGAAUCAAAGAAAGGCUGUGCCAUCAUACUAACAACGCAUUCCAUGGAGGAAGCUGAUAUUUUUAAGUGACCGAAUAGGGAUCAUGGCUAAGGGCAGGCUCCGCUGCAAUUGGGGUUCCGCUCGGUGCUGGAAAAUUUCGUUGAGGUCUUCUCCAGGUCCCUGCUGCUGGCGAAUUGUUCCACGAACUUGUUGCUGAGAACUGCGAAUGAAGCUAUGGACCUGGAGGGUAAGUCGAUAUACCACUGCAGAGCGGGUCCGGUCAGGGUGGAGCCAAACCCUUUGCACAUGGUAGCUUAGCGAGACCCCUUUGGGAGUGCUACAACGAGCAUCCUUUGUCUGUAUUGGGUGACGUGGUCGUCCGGAUUAGUGGUGCCGUCAUACGCCUUUUUGCUGGGGAUGGAGAACUUCCUGGGUAUCUCGAUCAAGGUGAUCUCAUCCGUGAAGGGAGUGUCAGCGUAGGAGUCGGGAUUACUCUUCCGUAAUGGGGGGAGCUACCCCCGGGAGUCUCUCUGCCAUGGACUGCACGGCGUCGAGCCUCUCGGAAAACAUCUGGUAAAGGUGAGCGAUCAUAGGAGACUCCGCUCUCGCUGCUCCAUCUGAUGCUUCUUUAUCGGGCUCGGGCUCCAAGUCGCUGUCCUCCACGUCGUAGGUCUGAGCAUCCUUGGCCUUUUCGCGCUUUGAUGCGUCUCCGCCCGGCGCCUUAGUUGGGAGAUUCGCGCCUGUCCUGGAGUUAGGCGUCUCCAGAGUCGGCAUAGGGCGAACCUGAGUCCGGAAUCGACACUUCUUGUUACUCGCCGUGUUGAGGGCUUGGUUCUCGUCUCAAAGGGUAAGAUUCUCUGAUUCGAGCUGGCUGAGCUUCUCGGCGCUCUGCUCCAGGUGGUUAGAGUGUUCGUUGAGCUUUUCCUUCAGGAUUUGGAACUCCGAGGAAAGCUCGGGAUUGGUCUCCUCCCGAGUUCUAUGCAGCCCGGUUACUUGACCUUGCAGAUCAUCGAUUUGCCUUUGGAGUUCAGCUUCUCUCUGGGUAGCUUUGGGUAACUCAUCCUGCUCGUUCACCGCCAUUAUCACGUAGUUUAGAUUAGUCCCCUCCUUCUAGCGCCAAACUGUUAGGGGAUUUUUGUGUAGGAUCUUUGUGAGUACCACGGAACGAUGGACAAGGCUGAUUAUUGUAUUGAUUUUGUGUAGAAUUUGAGAGAUACAAUAGAGGUAAACACUUGAAGAAUUGUUUUAUUGAGUAAGGAAGCCGAAACUACAUGAUUGGUGUAUAAACCCUAGUUCUAGCCGCCUAGUGAUAUACCUUGGAUUUGACCCGUUUUCAUCCAUCGUAUAUAGGUGUUUUACUAUAAAUAUAUCUAUGUUUUCUACUCUUCUAGGUAUGUUUUCAGGU